rnacentral:lncRNA from 1 species
GCAUCGCCACCACAUACAUUGUGAGCUCCAUGAAAGGUACAACUUGAUGUCCUCUAAAAAGAAUCUUCCUAAAAACUCAAAUGUGACCUUACUCAACUUUUGUAGAGGUUUGUCUUAGUAAUUUCAAUAGUAAAUAGGUAUCGAUGGUUUGCAAUCGAUACAUUUUCCGUGGGUAUUACCGCAAGAGGAAAUUUACAACAUGGAUGCUAUGCGCACAUGUACAGUUGCACUAACUUAGAGAAGAAAAGAAUAACAUGCAUGAUAAAGUAAUCCUCCAUGUAGGUAAGAGAAGAGUGGUAAUGUAAUACCACAGCAUCUUAGUUACGGGUAUACACCUGCACGUUUGUUUCUCUAAGUUUGCUGCUGAAUGUGUCGUUUGGUGAAUGUAGGUUUGUCAAAAAGCAUAGUUGGCCUCGGUGGGAUGCUGUCCCGUCCAAGGUUCAGUUGGAGACCUAUCUCAUGGCAAUCGGGGUACGACCAGGAAAUGAAGCCACACAGGCCAGGAGAUCACCUCCAGGUUCAGUCGAAAGAGUGUACCUGCUCUAUGAUCCUACACUCAAACUGAUCUCUCUCUCCGGUUACUGAUUUUGCCGUGAUACACCAUAGAUAAGUGCCUAAAGACUUCAGGUAGAGAAAUAAUUUGCGAGACACCGUCAGUGUACUCAUUAUCUGCACAAGGUGGUCGGAUUAAUUAUGCUCGAAGUAUGACUUCCGUAAUAUUUAUCAAUAAUCAUGCC